rnacentral:lncRNA from 1 species
GCAGUAUUUAGUUCUAAUCAUCUUAAUUAACAUCUACAUAUAUUAAUACACUCCAUAGUCCAUAUACUGAGAUAAUUUGUAAGCAUAAAUAAUCUAUUAAACUAAUCAUUUAAAAAAGAAAAAAAAAAAGACAUUGGUUUCUUAGUAAACAUCGACGUAAAGAGACAAAUCCUAGAACUUAUAAAAUUUUUCGUUUGUUAGUGUUAGAGAUUGGUAUAGGAGAUUCUCUUCUGUAUCAAUACCAGUAAGCAGCGAAUAAACUCAACUAUUUACGGGGAUUAAAAUUUUGAACGAAUAUUAAUUAAAAUUCGGACCUGAUGUAUAAACUUAAGUCAAAUUGUAUCAUAUAUAAAAAGGGAGAAAAAAAAAUUCAAAUGGGUUUUAAGAUGCUAUCCCGGGACCAGCACCGGGGUUCGGGGGAAGCAAAUGAAGUUUAAUAUUGAGCAUGGAAUCAAAUAAUAUCUGAAGAUGAGAUUAUUGUACAUACGUCUCACACACAAAUGAACAAAUUAUAUUUUAUCCCCACCCCCCCACAGGCAAACAAAACCGCCGCCCUUAUUGGGCACAAAAAAUUAUCUUAUGGACCACUCUCUUGGCAAUAGCAUUAUUUUAUAUUAACAAUUACGUCUCCAAAUUGCCCUCAAGGGGAAAAAAAAAUAAAGCUAAGAUCUAAACCUACUAUCUACAAAGAGUGAAUUUUUUUUUUUUUUUUUUUUUGAGUUGGUCAGUGACAAUUCUCAAGAACAAGUAAUUAAUCUGCGUAAUGUAAAAAUAAUCCUACACACAGACAUAGAGUACACUAACAGAGGAGGUACUUGUUAAUUUAGUAUGUGGCACAUGGGUUGCGUUAGUUUCCCAAACCUCAGGAAAGCCGAGGUCUGCUAAAAUUGCUCCCCAUAAUAAUGUAUUUUAAUUUUUUUUUUUUUUAAUGUAGGGUUUUAGCUCAUUUACUUCUCUAGCUAGCUAUUGAAUCUGUAGGUGGCAUAGUUCCACUUCUGUAAUAAUAAAAAGCUUCUUUUUUUCCCCUUUUCUUUCUUUCUUUGAUAUGUGGGGAAUAUAAAGCUUAAGCACCAGUAACUCAAAAGUGAUUGAUUCAUCACAUGUAUGCCUAGAAUUGAACAUUUUGUCAUCAAUUCAAUUAAAUAUAGGAUGCUUUUAUCUUACAUGCAUGUAAGAUACAUUUCUCUUACAUGAACAGUGAAUAGAUCCCACACAUAUACUAUUUAUAUAA